rnacentral:rRNA from 1 species
GACGAACGCUGGCGGCGUGCUUAACACAUGCAAGUCGAACGGAAAGGCCCUGCUUUUGUGGGGUGCUCGAGUGGCGAACGGGUGAGUAACACGUGAGUAACCUGCCCUUGACUUUGGGAUAACGUCGGGAAACUGUGGCUAAUACCGGAUAGGAGCUCCUGCUGCAUGGUGGGGGUUGGAAAGUUUCGGCGGUUGGGGAUGGACUCGCGGCUUAUCAGCUUGUUGGUGGGGUAGUUGCUUACCAAGGCUUUGACGGGUAGCCGGCCUGAGAGGGUGACCGGCCCCAUUGGGACUGAGAUACGGCCCAGACGCAUACGGGAGGAAGCAGUGGGGAAUAUUGCACACUGGGCGGAAGCCGGAUGCAGCAACGCCGCGUGCGGGAUCACGGCCUUCGGGUUGUAAACCGCUUUCGCCUGUGACGAAGAGUGAGUGACGGUAAUGGGUAAAGAAGCACCGGCUAACUACGUG